rnacentral:lncRNA from 1 species
UUGAGGGGAGGCCCGGUGGCCCCUUCACUACUUGAGGGAGGGCCUGGGGCUAAUUUUGGCUUUGCCUCCUCUAGUCAGCACCAGCCUGGAACACAGACAGGCUUUGCUUGGAGAACCCUGGGAGGAAAACCCAGUCUCCUCGGCGGGAAGGGUGGCGCGUCCCCAGGGCCUAGAGUUUGAGAUUAAACAGGAUCGGGCGGAGGGAGGCCCCUCCCAGCAGCUCCGCCUCCUCGGGGCGCCCAGCGGUCUUUUCCACCUCGUCGCCUUCCCCCUUCCUGCUCCACACGAACCCCGGUAGCAGACACCCGUUUCCACCCCGGCAGGAAGGCCAGGGGCCCAGUGCUCCCCGCCCAGGCCAUGCCCUUCUACCAUGCUGCCAGACAAGGCAGGUGACCCCACCAUGAUUUAAUGCUGCACAGAGCGGGGGGCCUCCUGCACCCUCUUCCAGCUAGCUACCUUUUCUCCCACUUUGUCCCGGCUCCUCCCACCUGACCCAAGACCCCAGGCACCUGUUGGCCACUGCAAGCUCAGGGCACCACGGUUCAAGCCAGAAGGUCACUCUGUCCCCAGCCCGAGGUCCUGGGUCCUGGUCCUGCUGUGCGACCUUGGGUCUGCCCACAGAGGGUUGCCACAGGGCGGACCAGCCCAGUGCCCGGGACCUCCCCCCGCCCCCCUAAGCAAGUGCUGGCCCACCUUCCCCCCACCUUCUUGCCCUGAACCAAGCUCUGGGACCUGCC